AUACGCUGGUCAGACUGUUGUUUAGUCACCUAUCGAUGGGAAGAACCUUUUUGGAAUAUUUGCGUGCGUGGACCAUUCGAUUGUAAGUACCUAUUUAAAUGCAUGAAAAGGUAUUUAUUACACUGUGCUAUUGUUUCGACUCUAAUUGGAAUUAUAUCAUUGCAUAAUAAAGACAGUGUGAAAUUAAUUAUAAUAAUAUCAUUGGGAUAAGAUUUGAAAUAUGGCAAAGGAUAUGAAAUGUAAGAACAGGAGAACACCUAUUGGAGUAAGCACACAUUGUACCAGUUAUGGUAUACCAAAACAAUUGCUAUUACAACAUUUUGAACCACCUCCUAGUUUGAAAAAGGCUCUAAGGGGAGUUACACAUGCUACAGAGUAUACACAAUUUAUUAAUAGUCUUC